rnacentral:rRNA from 1 species
UACGGAGGGUGACAAGCGUUAUCCGGAUUUACUGGGUUUAAAGGGUGCGUAGGUGGGCCUGUAAGUCAGUGGUGAAAUCUUCAAGCUUAACUUGGAAACUGCCAUUGAUACUAUAGGUCUUGAAUUAUCUGGAGGUAAGCGGAAUAUGUCAUGUAGCGGUGAAAUGCUUAGAGAUGACAUAGAACACCCAUUGCGAAGGCAGCUUACUACGGAUUGAUUGACACUGAGGCACGAAAGCGUGGGGAUCAAACAGG